rnacentral:RNase_P_RNA from 1 species
CGAGCCAUCCGGGUGAUCGCGGCAGCGGUGAGUUGUCGAGGAAAGUCCGGGCUCCAUAGAGCAGGGUGGUGGGUAACGCCCACCCGGGGUGACCCGCGGGAAAGUGCCACAGAGAACAGACUGCCGGUUUCGAGCCGGUGAGGGUGAAACGGUGGAGUAAGUGCCCACCGCGUCAUCGGUGACGGUGACGGCAUGGCAAACCCCACCUGGAGCAAGGCCAAGAAGACCGUGAGGUC